rnacentral:rRNA from 1 species
AGCAGCCGCGGUAAUUCCAGCUCCAAUAGCGUAUAUUAAAGUUGUUGCAGUUAAAAAGCUCGUAGUUGAAUUUCGGGAUCAAUAUGUUGGUCGUGCCUUGGUACGUACUGGCAUUAUUGGUUUCUACCUUCUGAAGAACCUCGAUGUCAUUAAUUUGGUGUCUUGGGGAAUCAGGACUGUUACUUUGAAAAAAUUAGAGUGUUUAAAGCAGGCUCGCGCUUGAAUACAUUAGCAUGGAAUAAUGAAAUAGGACGUUUGAUUCUAUUUUGUUGGUUUCUAGGAUCGAUGUAAUGAUUAAUAGGGAUAGUUGGGGGCAUUAGUAUUCAAUUGUCAGAGGUGAAAUUCUUGGAUUUAUUGAAGACUAACUACUGCGAAAGCAUUUGCCAAGGAUGUUUUCAUUAAUCAAGAACGAAAGUUAGGGGAUCGAAGACGAUCAGAUACCGUCGUAGUCUUAACCAUAAACUAUGCCGACUAGGGAUCGGAUGAUGUUAAUUUUUUAAUGACUCAUUCGGCGCCUUACG